UAAAGAUCUUCCGCGCUGGGGUUUCUCCAUUGCCGGCUUCAUCGGUAGGUUUUGCUUCCAAGGUCGGUUCAUCUGGUCAUCUCUGAAGGGCUUUGAUCUCACCACAAGGUUGCGGAUGUCGCUGCCGCGUUUGUUCGUUGCGGUUGUUUGACCUUUCUUUGAUCUUGUUCUUGGGUAUCGAUUCUUUAGGGUUGGACUUCUGUUUAGAUUUUUGGACCGGAGAUGCCUCCUCGACCGGCGAAGAAGGGUUCGGGAGGGUCAACGGGGGCGAGAAAGACGGCGGCUAGGACGGCUAAGGGGACCCUGAAGGCCAAGAACCAGGCCGAGGUGAGCGAGGAUCCCCCCAAGGCGGAAGAGACCCGCGCUCCCGUUGAGGAGGUGAAGGAGGAGAGCAAGGUCGAGGAAGUCGUCGUGGAGAAGACCGUCCAGGAGAAGCCGGUCGUGUUAGAUUCCAGUCAGAAUGACCCUGAAUCGGUGGAUGUUGAAUAUGAAGAAGAUGUGAAGGAGGUUUACUCGGAAGAAGAUAAAAAUGAAAGGUUAGAGUUGGAGGACAAUGAACCAGAGUAUGAACCUGAAGAAGAUACUGCUGUAGAUUAUGAUGAGAAGUAUCCGGAGAAUGAAAUAAUAGAAGAUGAUGUUGAUGAAGGUCAGGAGGGUGACGAGGGUGAUAUGGUCGAAGAGGAAGAAGUUGACGUGGGUGAUGAGGAGAUUGAGGAUGGUGGAGAAGAUUUAGAAGGUGAAGAGGAAUUUGAAAAUGCGGAGGAAGACCGGAUUGAUGCUGAAGAAGAUCACCAUGAAGUUGUUGAAGAGCAUAGAAAGCGCAAGGAGUUUGAAGUAUUUGUUGGUGGCCUAGAUAAAGAUGCUAAUGAAAACGAUCUCAAGAAAGUUUUUUCUCAAGUUGGUGAAAUUACUGAAAUCCGGCUUAUGAUGAACCCGAUAACAAAGAAGAACAAAGGGUUUGCAUUCCUGCGUUUUGCUACUGUGGAGCAGGCAAAGCGUGCUGUUUCAGAGCUCAAGAAUCCUGUGGUGAGAGGUAAGCAGUGUGGUGUUGCUCCAAGUCAAGACAGUGACACACUCUUUGUGGGUAAUAUCUGCAAGUCAUGGACAAGGGAACAUUUUAAGGAGAAACUAAAAAGCUAUGGAGUUGAAAAUAUGGAAGAUUUGACGUUGGUUGAAGAUACCAACAAUGCAGGAAUGAACCGUGGUUUUGCGUUUCUGGAGUUCUCAUCACGCUCUGAAGCAAUGGAUGCUUAUAGGUGCUUGCAGAAGAGAGAUGUAGUAUUUGGAGUUGAUAGGACUGCUAAGAUUGCCUUUGCAGAUUCUUUUAUUGAGCCAGAUGAUGAAAUCAUGGCACAGGUUAAAACUGUUUUUAUUGAUGGGUUGCCUGCCGUAUGGGAUGAGGACCGUGUAAAGGAUUACCUGAAGAAAUAUGGCAUAAUCGAGAAAGUAGAGCUUGCUCGCAAUAUGCCAGCUGCAAAGAGGAAAGAUUUUGGAUUUGUUACUUUUGACUCCCAUGAUAAUGCUGUUGCGUGCGCUGAAGGCAUCAAUAAUGCUGAACUCGGGGAAGGUAAUGACAAGGUUAAAGUUAGAGCUAGAUUGUCAAGACCACAUCAAAGAGGUAGAGUGAAACACGAUCCUCGGGGAAUUUUUAGGGUUGGCAGGGGAGCUCCUCGAGGUGGCCGUGUGCCUUAUGGUCGCCCUCCACCUCGUAGAUUCCCAAGUUAUGCCCCUAGAUCAAUUAUUGCUCGUGGUAUGCCAAUUGGUGGUCGUGGAUUGAGGAGACCUUUUGGAUAUAGAGAUAGACAUUCUGUGAUGGCAGUAGCAGAGAGGGCAAGACGAUUGCCGCCACCUGAGAGGUCCUAUGACAGAAGACCACCUGCACCAGUUGCUCCAUACCCAAAGUUCAGUGCUAGGAGGGACUACGGUAGGCGUGAUGAGCUGCCACCUCCUAGAAACAGAGCCAUUGCUGAAUAUGCGUCCAGAGUUCCCACAGAGAGACACUUGUCUUACAGAGAUGAUUACUCCCCCCGAGGGCCUGGUUAUAUGGAUAUUCCAGCACGCAAUGCUUCUCGCCCUGGUGAUAGACGAACUUUCAUUGAUGAUGGUUAUGAGCGAAAACUUGAAAGGCCUGUCACUACUUAUCGAGAAGGACGUAGCCGAGACUAUGAUUCAAUUUCUGGAUCAAAACGUCCUUACUCAGAUCUGGAUGACACUCGUUAUGCUGAUGUAAGUCUACGUCAGUCAAGGGCUCGCUUGGAUUAUGCUGUUAGUGGCAGUGGUUCUCAGUAUGGAGAUGCUUAUAGUGAUAGGCUUGGUCGGUCUCAUAUGGGGUAUAGUGGUAGUCGGUCUUCAGUUUCUGAUCAUGAUAGUUUAUAUGGGAACCGUCAGGGAAUGACUUAUGGUGGAGGCUCAGUCAGCGGCAGUGGUGCUGGUGGAAUGUACUCGUCAAGCUUCAAUGGUGGCUAUAUGUCCCGUGGUUCUGAUAUUGGUGGUGGCUCUUCUUCAUCUGCAUCCUUCUAUUCUGGCCGUAAUGUAAGCGGAAGUGGAUAUGUAGGUGGUGGUGGGUCUAGUUCGUACUACUAAGAUUUGACAUUAAAGAGGACUGGUGUAGGCUGUGGAUUAUAAGAAGCUUCUCAGUAUGAUGCCUACAUGCUUGGAAAGGGGAGUUAAUACCAAGCAUGCUUAGCUUGAUUCUCUAUGAGAGAACACCUCAUGAACUCGAGUUAAGAAGCAGAGGGCAGUAAGGUUUGGUCAGAAGAGUUAUUUGCUUAUUGACCUUUAGCUAAUAAUAUUCGAUGUAUGGAAUUUAAAGUACUGUGGGUGAGAAACAGGAACACCAAGAAAUAUAUGGUGUGGUAUGUAUGAAGCAUGUUUUCUUCUGCUAUUAAGAUAUUAUCGGAUGAGAAAAGGUUUUAGCAGCUUAGUUCUUAAUGAGCAAUAUUUGUAUGAUAAAUUGAAGUUGAGGUGUACCUGGAUACUUUACUUUAUCAUCAAUGCUUGAUCCAAGGCAUUUUAACUUAACCAGCUUGAAGUAUAUCUUGUAUUUGUACUGUGACAAAGAUAUCCCAGUGGCACAUGAUCUCAGUGGCACGAUAAUCUUUGAAGGGUCUGAUAAAAUAAAAUUGAGAAGGCUCUGAAAUGUUUUGGACUAGUGAAAAUUUCUGUUUCUCUUGCUAAUACAGCUUGUUGGAUAUAUUUCCCUUGCUAAUACGGCUCGCUGGAUAUGUUCUCUGUUUUUGCACUCUGGGAUUGGCAAGUUGGUCUUUGUUGUAGACCUUCCAAAAUUGGUCCCUGAAGUUAUGGGAAUCAGAGUUUUGUGCAUGUAGCACAUAUGGAUAUGUGAUAGUUACAUGGCUGCUUAUUAUCUGGAGCAAACUAAUUAUUAGACAAAGAAGCACUGUUAACGAUUUUGAGGACUACACUUAUGUUUCUAUUAUAGAUUUCAGUUGGAUUAGUUAUGUUUAUCAUCUGAUCUGAAGUAGUUAUCUUCUAUAUGGAGCUUUAUGACCCAGGUGUUCUUGUUUAGAUUGAAAAUGGCAGGUAAUGACUUUGAUUCACAUCCUAUUAUUUUUUAUUUUUUAUCCAUCUUAUUUUGGUAAAAUUGACUUUUGUGCAAUUUGGAGUAAUUUUAUUCAGGUUAUUUAGACCUAGAGGACCUUGUUCUGUCUUUAAGUAGCAAUGAACUUGGUUUCCAUCUGAUUUUGCAGCACCAUACAUAUUUUAUAUCUACCGUGUUCAGUUCCCUUGUAUAGCCACUUAUUAGUGUAAAUUUGUUGGCAUUUUGAAGCACUCCCAGGUACUUCAUAGUUUGUAAUGAAUUGUGUUCAAAAAACUUAGAUGGUUUACACCAUGUGGAUACCAAAACCGACACUAGUGUCGAUACUCUGAGACUGCUACACCACUGAUCUAUAGGGUGGUAUACUGACCUGUUGCCAUUGUGACAAAGAGAAUGUGUAUAUGGUAGUACAAAACUGGUAUAGUACUUAUAUUCGAUAAAUAUCGGUUUUUAUGUUCUGGUCUGACCAAUAAUUUAAACCAUUGUUUACAGAAUUAUAAUAAUGAUUCUAAAAUUUAAGAACCUAAUCAAUAUCUAUGUAAAUUACUAAAUUUUACAAGAUGAUCGACAUCACAAUUUAUGUUUUUGAUGUAUUGAUUUCUUUAUACUCUACUAUUGUUCCAAACGGGAUUCUCAGAUAAUGUGUUUUAACUGCUAACAGUGAAAUGUCCUGUGAAUGGGAAAUGCCAUUAUUGGGUAGUGGGAUGAACAGUCUGAAAGGCUCAUUAAUAGACUAACUUGAGUAAUUUUGAUGGUUGAUGAAGAUGGGAAUGAAUUAUUUUGCAAGUAUUUUGGAGAGUAUCUUUUGGCAGAAUGCAGUUGUUUAGGAAUAACCUUUGUGAAGUUAUAACUAUUUAGGACAAGAAUAAAUGGUCACCAUUCAAUUGGUAUCUUCGGCUGGGGUGUCUUAUUUCGGUGCACUGUAUAAUUUAAUCUUUCCAUUGAAAACCCACUUCUUGAGAAGCUUAUGCAAUGGUUGAAGUUUUGAUGGGUUGAUGGAGAUGUUGGUAAGGAUGAACAAGUUACUUAUGGUUUUCCUCAUUGCGAACCAUAUCUUCAGGAUUUUUGUAUUCUAUUGUCCCUUGUGCUGGAACUUUACAAUUAUGAUGUUAGCUGAAUUAAUGUGCAAAUGACUGGUAAUGGCUUGGAAUGGUUUUUGUUUAUUUUUUAUUUAUUUCUUUUUUUGAAAUUUGUGUUUUGGUUAUCACAGAAUGACAGCCAAAUGAUUUUGAUUCUGAAGCUUUCUCCAGCUUGUCGCCUUCUUAAGUCUAUUAAUUUCGACUACUGGAAUCAUACCUGUUCUCAUCCAGAUCGAUACAGGUUUAGUACAUGUUGUGUAGCAAUACAUGGUUUUGGGUGGCAUGAUGGGUGGUAAGUAGUAGAUACCUAGAUCCAUGGAUGAAACCAUCCCUCAUCCACUGAAUACAGUAGCGGAGAAACCUUAGCUUAUCAGUUUUUUCUAUUUAACAUUGUUUCCUGCUGCUUUGAAUCUGUUUUAUCAUGCUAGAGUAGACUAUUGGGUUUGCUUGAUAUUUAGCUUCUUCCAAUUUUUUUGGAUGGAAUUCAUUUGUUACUGUCAACCAUAGAGCAGUUAUGUCAUUCUUGUCAACAGUUGCUGUAGCCCAAGUGUUUCUUGUUGUCAUACCUGCAUCUUUUUUCUUCUUUCUGGUAUCACUCUUGAGUCUAAAUUCUCUGCUUAGUCCAAGCUCUUAUGGGUUCUGUUCAUGAUUCCUGCCUCUAGAGGCCAAUGGUUUCGUCUUUUCUUUUUCUUGAUUGAUUAUCUUCAGUUUUAAGGAUGGAUAACAGAAGACUGUAAGCUUAUUGUAUAGUUGUAAGCUUUCAUUACUCGCUUUGACAGCUGCACAUGCUAUUGUAUUGUGUGGAUCGUGCAUCUGGAUUUGAUUGCAAAAGCAAGUGAUGUAUCAUAUUGUUUCUCUCUUUCCUAAAUUUAGUUUGUGCAGCUCCACCAUCCUUGUGGUGACAGGCAUUCAUGGUCCUCUUUUGGAUGCACUGUUUGAAAAUUUAGCGGUAUUUUUUUUUUCCAUUUACUGAUGGUUAUUUGUAUUUGUGCAUGAUAGACUGAUCAAGGAUUUAUUUCUUUUUUUUUUCCGCUUGACUUAUCCCCUGUAAGUUUGUGACUAAAAUGGUAGUCAGUAAAUUUUGUUGACCUUGCCCUUUGUAAUUGUAAUUAUCCAAGUACAUGUUAUGUUCCGAUCAAUAGUGUUUGCCCUACAAUGUGAAUAAAAUGUUGCUGUGGAUGACAUGAAAAACUUGGAUACUGUGAAUCCUGCUCAAAUGUUGUGGUGCUUCUCUACUCUAUUUUCCAUCUAUGCGGAGAAGCAACUGCUUUAUGACAUGAAGUUCAUAAUGAACAUGUAAAAGAUGGGGUGUUGGUAUCAACAAAAGCAUUGGUUAUUUGCAUUUAGUCAUUGGGUUCCCUAGUUAUGUCACUGGUUGUGGUUUAAUUUAAUAUCUUGUUUCUCCUUGGUUGAGGAUGUUGACUCAUAUUGGAUCAAUUGUAUUAGCAAAGCCCAGAAAAAAAUUAUAUCACAUUUUCUAAUCAGGUUGGAUAGUUAAUUAACUGGAUGAGGUUGAUUCAUUUAUGAUGCUUUUAUUAAUUUCAAAAUCUAGUUGAAUUGGAAAUCAAAAGAUGGGAAUAUUAUAUGAUAUUGACGGAGGCUGUUGCACUGGCGCUUGGUAUACUCGCGAAAGGUCUGCAUCUUUAUCGUCUGUCCGAACUGUUCAAUGAUUUGUGAAGAGUGUGGGGUUUUUCACAGGACCCAACUCACUGAAUUGCAAUGCGGAGCUCGGUCAUUGGCAGAAAAUGGUGCACCAUGUGACCGCCCAGAGUAAGCUUCUCCUCGCACUCAUCGUGAGAAUUUUUUUUGUUUCAAGAUAUUGUCAUGGAAUCUUUUUUAUCAUCUUAAGUUGAAUAGAGAGUGAUGUAAGUAGAUCUUGAAAAUAUGGAAUCGACUCAUCAUGUCACAACACAAUCAGAUCCAUCAAGUUGAAUAGAAAAACGUUGUGAUAUUGGCAAUUGGAAGAAAAAAAAGGAUAGUGGAUAUAAUGGAUGGGAUGAAUGAAAAAGUCCCUCGACUUUUAUGUUGAAUGCAAUGGUUUUUUUUUUAGCAAGUUUAUGUUUUUCCUACAUGACAUAUUUGAACUCCAUUGUGAAGUCCUCGACUUCAAUAGCAAGUAUUUUAUUUUAUUUUUCCUUUGAUGGGUUAGCGAAAAUAUGGAAUUACUUAUACUGUAAACUUUUGUUGUUCAGUGUCUAGUAAAAGGGGGGUUGUAUCUGAUGUACAGUGGUCUGCCUGGCUAAUACUAAUGUUGGCAAGUAAGCUUAUAGUUUGUUGUUUUAAGUGGAAAUCUUGCAUGUCAGAAAUUUGGAGAUGCUAAUUCUGAUGCUUAUUAUAUUCUUUUUCUCCUAAGAGUGGUAAUCUCCAAAUUAUAGAGUUCAAUUAUGAACUGUGUUGGUCCAGAAUGCAUUGAUGAAAUUGUUGUCCUACUCAUUCGGAGGAUACAUUAUGUCCUAGUUCAUUCGGUGCAUGCCUAUUCUAGGAUGCUUGAUAUGCUUCCAUUAUAUUGUGAAAACUAACUGUUGAAUUAAUUUUUUACUGGAGGAUUGGUAGUCCAAUUUCUAUGUGACAAUAUAAAUUGAGAUUUCUGGGAGACAUUGAACAAAGAAGCUUCCCAGAGAGCUCUGUUUGCUUUGGGGAAGAGGAGGUGCUCGACAUGCAAGAUGUGACUCUUCUCUAGCUUUCCAGGUGGCCUCACUGGAGAUGUCAAUGUAAAUGAAGAUGGCAUCGCUAUUCGUGUUGGUAGGUACUCAGAUGAAGGUAUUAACCUUGUUAUGGAUAGAGACCAAUGGUAUGGAUGGAAAGCUCAAAGAUGCGAGGUGGAAAUUUGAGGUCCAGAAAAGAUGGCAAGAGCAAUUCUUCUUAUGAAAUGCACUAGUCCAGGAUGAGUAGCGCUCAAGAUGGCUAGAGUACAAGAGGUGUUGAACUUUCUGAUCAAGCAUUUGUGGAAUCGACGUAUGUGCUCAUGAAAUGCAGCCAUAGAAUUGUGCUGAUUCAGUUUUAACAUGUUGAUAAUAUGCUUUUAGUGUUUCCUGUGUGCCA